rnacentral:rRNA from 1 species
AAGGAGCAAUCCGGUGUGAGGUGGGCUCGCGUCUGAUUAGAUAGUUGGUGAGGUAACGGCCCACCAAGUCAACGAUCAGUAGCCGACCUGAGAGGGUGAUCGGCCACAUUGGGACUGAGACACGGCCCAGACUCCUACGGGAGGCAGCAGUGGGGAAUAUUGGGCAAUGGGCGCAAGCCUGACCCAGCAACGCCGCGUGAGGGAAGAAGGUUUUCGGAUUGUAAACCUCUGUCCUAUAUGAAGAGAUAGAGACGGUAGUAUAGGAGGAAGCCCCGGCUAACUACGUGCCAGCAGCCGCGGUAAUACGUAGGGGGCGAGCGUUGUCCGGAAUGAUUGGGCGUAAAGGGCGCGUAGGCGGCCCGUUAAGUCUGGAGUGAAAGUCCUGUUUUCAAGAUGGGAAUUGCUUUGGAUACUGAUGGGCUUGAGUGCAGGAGAGGUUAUCGGAAUUCCCGGUGUAGCGGUGAAAUGCGUAGAGAUCGGGAGGAACACCAGUGGCGAAGGCGGGUAACUGGACUGCAACUGACGCUGAGGCGCGAAAGUGUGGGGAGCAAACAGGAUUAGAUACCCUGGUAGUCCACAC